rnacentral:rRNA from 1 species
CGGACGGGUGAGUAACGCGUGAGAAUCUACCUUGGAGUCGGGGACAACCACGGGAAACUGUGGCUAAUACCGGAUGUGCCGAAAGGUGAAAGAGAAAUCGCCCCAAGAGGAGCUCGCGUCUGAUUAGCUAGUUGGUGAGGUAAAAGCUCCCCAAGGCAUCGAUCAGUAGCUGGUCUGAGAGGACGAUCAGCCACACUGGGACUGAGACACGGCCCAGACUCCUACGGGAGGCAGCAGUGGGGAAUUUUCCGCAAUGGGCGAAAGCCUGACGGAGCAAGACCGCGUGAGGGAGGAAGGCUCUUGGGUUGUAAACCUCUUUUCUCAGGGAAGAAAAAAAUGACGGUACCUGAGGAAUAAGCAUCGGCUAACUCCGUGCCAGCAGCCGCGGUAAUACGGAGGAUGCAAGCGUUAUCCGGAAUGAUUGGGCGUAAAGCGUCCGCAGGUGGCUCUUCAAGUCUGCUGUCAAAGAGCAAGGCUCAACCUUGUCAAGGCAGUGGAAACUGAAAGGCUAGGGUGUGGUAGGGGUAGAGGGAAUUCCCAGUGUAGCGGUGAAAUGCGUAGAGACUGGGAAGAACACCGGUGGCGAAAGCGCUCUACUGGACCUGCACUGACACUGAGGGACGAAAGCUAGGGGAGCGAAUGGGAUUAGAUACCCCAGUAGUC